GCCUCUUUAGCUCAGUGGUAGAGCACUGGUCUCGUACGCAAUCGCCCAGGUAACCAGGGGUCGUGAGUUCAAUCCUCACAGGAGGCA
rnacentral:tRNA from 1 species